GGAUCGCAGUCUGCAACUCGACUGCGUGAAGGUGGAGUCGCUAGUAAUCGCGGAUCAGCAACGCCGCGGUGAAUGCGUUCCCGGGCCUUGUACACACCGCCCGUCAAGUCAUGAAAGUGGGCAGCACCCGAAGACGGUGGCCUAACCCUUGUGGGGGGAGCCGUCUAAGGUGAGGCUCGUGAUUGGGACUAAGUCGUAACAAGGUAAC
rnacentral:rRNA from 1 species